UACGUAGGGAGCAAGCGUUGUCCGGAUUUACUGGGUGUAAAGGGUGCGUAGGCGGCUUUGCAAGCCAGAAGUGAAAUCCAUGGGCUUAACCCAUGAACUGCUUUUGAAAUUGCAGAGCUUGAGUGGAGUAGAGGUAGGCGGAAUUCCCGGUGUAGCGGUGAAAUGCGUAGAGAUCGGGAGGAACACCAGUGGCGAAAGCGGCUCUCUGGUCUGUAACUGACGCUGAGGUUCGAAAGCGUGGGUAGCAAACAGG
rnacentral:rRNA from 1 species